rnacentral:rRNA from 1 species
AUUGAACGCUGGCGGCAUGCCUUACACAUGCAAGUCGAACGGUAACGGGUCCUUCGGGAUGCCGACGAGUGGCGAACGGGUGAGUAAUAUAUCGGAACGUGCCCAGUAGUGGGGGAUAACUGCUCGAAAGAGCAGCUAAUACCGCAUACGACCUGAGGGUGAAAGGGGGGGAUCGCAAGACCUCUCGCUAUUGGACCGGCCGAUAUCAGAUUAGCUAGUUGGUGGGGUAAGGGCCUACCAAGGCAACGAUCUGUAGUUGGUCUGAGAGGACGACCAGCCACACUGGGACUGAGACACGGACCAGACUCCUACGGGAGGCAGCAGUGGGGAAUUUUGGACAAUGGGCGCAAGCCUGAUCCAGCAAUGCCGCGUGCAGGAAGAAGGCCUUCGGGUUGUAAACUGCUUUUGUCAGGGAAGAAAUCUUCUGGGCUAAUACCCCGGGAGGAUGACGGUACCUGAAGAAUAAGCACCGGCUAACUACGUGCCAGCCGCCGCCGUAA